GAGCUGCGUGAGACCAAGCGCCGUCAUGAGACCCGACUGGUGGAGAUUGACAAUGGGAAGCAGCGUGAGUUUGAGAGCCGGCUGGCGGAUGCCCUGCAGGAACUGCGGGCCCAGCAUGAGGACCAGGUGGAGCAGUAUAAGAAGGAGCUGGAGAAGACUUAUUCUGCCAAGCUGGACAAUGCCAGGCAGUCUGCUGAGAGGAACAGCAACCUGGUGGGGGCCGCCCACGAGGAGCUGCAGCAGUCGCGCAUCCGCAUCGACAGCCUCUCCGCCCAGCUCAGCCAGCUCCAGAAGCAGGUGAUACCCCACCUCACCCCUCCCUCCAGGGGCCUAGAGUCUGGGCAGGAUGCAGGCUGGAAGCCUGGGGUUGGGUUGGGAGG
rnacentral:sRNA from 1 species